AAUCAUUCAUAAUGGGUGGUGGAUUCCUACCAUGGAUUGAUGGAUACUGCGAUGUGUAAAUUUGUUAAAGUGUCUGAUUGAUUUAUGAUUUAUUGACAACAACAACUCUUCUGCAAUUGGUCCAAGCUCUCAAUUUUUUGUUGUUGAAGAAGUAAUUCCCCUCCGAUUUCACAAAUGGAGGGCAAUUUUGAAAUACAUAUUCUCCUCCUCCUUCAUUUUCUACUGUUUAUGCUAUCAUCAUCAGCAGCAGCAGUAGUGAAAUUAGGGCAUCAUCAUCAUUCUCAACACCUGUUCUUGUUACUCUACUUUCCGCAAUUGUUCUUUUGGCCAAAUGGGGGGCGCGACACGCGAGUUCUGCAAUAUCAGAGGAAUCCGCUUUAGACAUGGAACAAAACUAUUGUUGUCAUCCAAACAUACCAUCAGUUUGUGUCUUGUGAGCACUCUCAAAGCAAUGCUUCCUACUUCUCAUGGCCCACCUUCAGUCGAUUGAAUGGAGCUGCUGAACAUAACGGGGAAGUAAGCGACCAGUUUAAUCGAGCUGAUGACGACUGUGGCAUUUCAUAGCCAGAUCUUGCUCUGUGAUAGUCCCGGCACUGCAAUUGGGUUUCUAGUCCGCAAGGGUGCAUUGACAGAUAACAGAUAUACCUGCUAUUCUUAUUUUUGUUUCCCGUAAAGCUCGUAACUGGUGGCUCAACCACAUCCAGUCUUUACCAUCUUCCCUCGAGGCCAAAGGGACCAGGAGGUGUAUGGUGUGAUGUAGACGUUAUUGACCUCUCAUACUUUGGUGCCGCUGCACCCCCAAAGAACAAUUGUACACUUUAGCUUGUUUGGUUUACGAGGAAGCGAUCUUUGUGCUGGUUCAGGUUCCCAGAAGUUGUGCAGGAGCUAAUAAAUACAUUAGCAGCAGUUGCAGAUUCCAUGGAUGGAGAGUCUGAUCUUGCAGAAAGGAACAUUACCUAAGGGUAUAAAGAAAGAUAUAUAUGAGCGUUUCAACCUGCAACAAAUCCCCAAAGAAGAUGAACCUGUUUAGGGGUGAACCGCCCCUUUGUGCAUAAUGAGACGUGGUCGAGACGGGACCGGCCAAUAUAGAAGAACAUCAGCUCAUUCCCAACCUCAUCAAUGGCCCCUAUGCACAAAAAAGACUCAAGAGAAUACCCCUGAAACAAAUAAUCUAUCAGCACUAAGGAACGGCUCAGAUGAAGACCUCAGUUCUGCAUUGCACUUUGGGGGUCGUGAACCAAGAGAAGGCGUUCAAAGUCUUCAAUCAUUAUCGAAGAAGCAAAAUAAAAUAAAGUGCUUACAGUUGCAGGAAAUUUGAGCCUUCUCAUUUUGCUAUACAAAUCUUUUCUACUUUAUUUUGUUGAAUAAUCAACGAGUUCAAAUGAGCUUCUUGCCAAGAGCAGAGUGCCUGUGCCGUGGAGAGUAUGAAUUCUGAAUAUAAGUAGCCAGACUUUAUAAAUAGAUCAGAGAGGGGCUGGACAGUGUUGCACCAGGGCAUGCUCUUUCCUAGUUUUAUCUUUUUCCUUCUUUAGAAAUCAUAUUCUGUUUCUUUACAACUGUGUGUGGAGACUUGUAGGUCAUACUUAACGAUGACUUGCAGGAAAUGGUGCAUGGGACAUAAUCUGGCCUGAUCCCUUUACAUCUCGAGGAUGGUUAAAUCUUGAAAAAGCUGUGAUUUGUAAAGAUGAGAGACCUCUCAGGUUUCACUUUCUUGUACUACUGUUUAACAGGAGUUGGUUGCAAACAGGAGUUUCGAUAAAGAGAUUUUGUGUAUGCACCAGUUUCAGUUUUGCCAACCCUAAAAUUAGAUUCCAUGUCUUCAAACACAGAUUUUAAUGGUAGAUUGGUACCAUGUAUGAUUGAUGGAUACUGAGAACUUGUUGUUACUACACUAUAGGUUACGGUUCAUUUGAGAAACAACACUACAGGUUUUAGAGAUCCAAGCAUCUUAAUUUCUUCGUUUAAUGUACCAUGUUGGGCCUCUCCUGAAGGUUUGGUCUAGUGCCAA